AGCAAUCUCGCCCCUCCCAUGAUAUGAAACUCUUUGGAAAUUUGAUUGUUAAGAUGAAUUUUCCCAAUAAGGAUCUCACAACAACAUUCUCUCAGUUGACAGAGGAUUCAGAUCUGUUAGCUGUUCUCGGUGACUUGCUUGACACAGAUGAUGUUGACCGACUGACAGCUCAGCAAACCCUACAGCAUGCUUACUUUUGCAAGUGUGUUUGACCAGAAGCAUUCCUUAAUGUAGGGGCUGCAUAGAUGUUUUUUGUAUUAAAUUCUGCUUACACAUGUAAUCAAUUAGAAACCCUUGUUGUUGUGGCGGUGCUCGUUGUUGUACCAUAUUUUACAGCUUACACUGUUCCUGUUUUGUUUACCAACUGAAGAUAUAUUUUAGUCUGCUAUCUACCUCUGAUGGGAAACUAUGCAAUUUAACCUGUCGAAUCACUCAAAUGUAAACCUCUUUGUUGAACCACUGGCCAAGGGAAAGCUACUAUGCAGAUGUCAUUAUUUUGAUAUCCAUCAGGUCCUUGACAAAUAAUCUUUUUGACAUUGUUACAAAACAAUUUCACUUCUUGACUCUUGAAAGAAUUAGAACAAAAUAUUAACCCCUAAACCCCCAGAAGGGAUUGAUUUGUAGUUUCUCUCUAUAAUAUCUAUAUGAUGUCCAGAAAACAGGCAAUGAGAAUUCUCAAACUUACCAUAUAGAAGUUAUCUUGAUCUAACAUCAAAUUCUCAUAACUAGUCUACAAGGAAAUUUCUCACAGCAAGAGGGGAGAAUUGACAAUCAGAUUUUGCAAGUUAAAGUGUUUAAGAAGGAGGACAGGAAAGUUUUCUUCCCCUUAUUUACUGAUCUCAACAAUGCUAUUCCUUUGAGCAGAUAAUACUUAAGUUUUUUAAUUAAUGCCCCAAUCAAUUCAAAGCUUCAACUCCCCCCCCCCUCCACUGAACAGCAUUCUAGUCAAUUGAAGAUGG